GGACGGGUUGGUGGUCCAAUGACUGCUUCAUAAGCAGAAAGCCAUGGGUUCAAUCCCAGUCCCGUCCC
rnacentral:tRNA from 1 species